rnacentral:rRNA from 1 species
CCUACGGGUGGCAGCAGUGAGGAAUAUUGGUCAAUGGACGCAAGUCUGAACCAGCCAUGCCGCGUGCAGGAAGACGGCCCUAUGAGUUGUAAACUGCUUUUGUACGAGGGUAAACGCAGAUACGCGUAUCUGACUGAAAGUAUCGUACGAAUAAGGAUCGGCUAACUCCGUGCCAGCAGCCGCGGUAAUACGGAGGGUUCAAGCGUUAUCCGGAUUUAUUGGGUUUAAAGGGUGCGUAGGCGGUCGGUUAAGUUUGUGGUGAAAUCCCGAGGCUCAACUUUGGAAUUGCCUCGGAUACUGUUCGGCUAGAGAGUAGGUGCGGUAGGCGGAAUGUAUGGUGUAGCGGUGAAAUGCUUAGAGAUCAGAAAGAACACCGAUUGCGAAGGCAGCUUACCA